CCCUUAGAUGUUCUGGGCUGCACACGUGCUACACUGGCAGGUUCAGCGAGCUUCAUGCCCUGAUCUGAAAGGAAUGGGAAAUCUUUUCAAAACCUGCCGUGCUUGGGAUAGAUGUUUGCAAUUAUUCAUCUUCAACGAGGAUUGCCUUGUAAGCGCACGUCAUCAGCGUGCAUUGAAUACGACCCUGUAUUCUGUACACACCGCCCGUCGCUCCUACCGAUUGAAGUUUUCGGUGAGUUGACAGGAGGAUUUUUUUGAAACUGGUUCGCCAGUGGAUUUUAGAUCGAAAUGCCAACGAAUCGAUGGCUUUAGAGGAAGGAGAAGUCGUAACA
rnacentral:rRNA from 1 species